rnacentral:sRNA from 2 species
GCGCGGCCUCCGCUGAGUCCGGCACCCCUGUGGCAGCCGGAGCCGGGGACCCACCGACCUUGGGGUGAAUCGGCCAACUCCCUUUCGGGGAACAGGCUGUAGGGCAACCCUUCCGAACCACCCGCCCGAACCCGACAGCUAACUCGGUAGGCGGAACAUGGAAGGAGUC